rnacentral:lncRNA from 1 species
UUUCUGAAGAAGAGACACUGAAACAAACCCUGCUAUCGGCUGCUGGAUUGAAUUCUAAAUGCUGACCCACAUGCGAAUUUUGUGAUUGGUUCCAUUUGUUACAACGAGUGGAACUAAUUCUCUGGAUCCAAGUAUAAUUAGAUGAAUCUAGAUCAUAAGUCUGGGAAUUGCACCCAAAAACAUGAAGUUCAUUUCCCUUUGUUCUCUCGUUUCACUGAAUAACAAUAGUAAGUACUAGCCUUUCCUGUUCAGAAUCUAUUAGGGCCAAUGAAGGAAAAAGCACGGCAACCUAUGGGAACAGCACAUCUUUACAAGCUUGCAGAACUGAAGUGGUGGAGGAAGGUGAUGCAGGUUCUUGUCAGUCUUGGAAUGACUGGGAUCAGCGCUUCUCCUCUUGUGUUUAAAGCCUGAAGACUUCUUCAUGUCUGCAUCGAGUCUGGCUUUUGUUUUUCUUCAUCCUGAGAGAUCUAACCCACUAGCAACCCCAGCGCAAACAAGAGAACAACACCAUCUCUUUAGUAUGGAAGAACGUAUAACUGCUUCAGAAAGCAUUGCUGUUGCAGCAUCAAUCUGAAAGCUUGACUAUCCUGGAGCUUUUAGGCUGUUGAAAUGUCAGAUGGUAAAAACAACCCAAGAGUUCCAGAUGGGGCAAUUAGAAGAGAAACAUGCUGAAGAUGAUAAUAAGAAAAUUCUGGAUUCUCUCAAGUGGGAGUCCCAUGUCCUCACCUGUGACUUCCAAAUGCAAUCACUGUUCAAGUCUUGUGCAAAGCAGCACACCAUGAGGAAGUUCUUCAUUAUCAGGUGUCCCCUCAUUUGGCCAGAAGUGUUUGACCAAACUGUGGAAGGUCUGUGUCAUGAGGAGUUCAGAGGAGAUGUCACAGAGCAAUUUGCUGUUGAGUGGGAAGUCAUGAAGAGUUUGCAGUCUGGCUGCGGUGCUGAUACAUAUGACAGGCUGGUAGAAAGGAGACAAGCUUGCGAGAGCUGCAAUGUGGUGGUGUGUUUGAGGUAUGUGAACACAGAACAAGUGCCCAAGCAUCUGGCUUUUAUGUUGGUCUUUGUGCAAGCAUUGCUUCUCUGGUGUUUGGUCUGGCUCAUCUAGAGGCAGGCAUACACUUAGACUGCAGACCCACUGCCAAUAAUGUUCUUUCUGAAGUGAUUGCGAGGUAAGUCAAUUAUGUCAUUCCUCUUAGAAUGGGAAGUAUUAAUUAGGUGAAUUAGAGAUGCAGAGCAAAAAUGAUCAAAGCAGGUGAUGAAACGGGGUACCAAGAUAUACAGUGUGGUUUAAUGCUCAUGAUGCCUGUUCACUGUGAAUGUCUUUGAAGAUGGGUGAUACAUAACAUUUCUAAUUGAUUACAUUAGCAAGAGUGUUAUCUGGAGGGCAUUUGAUGGAGAUUCAGGAAACCUGGCUCUGUUUCUUGGUGUUUCAUUGGCCAUCUGAGCAAGUUAAUUCCUUUUCCUGUGC